AAUCAACGCUGGCGGCGCGCUUAACACAUGCAAGUCGAACGAGAAAGGGGAGCAAUCCCUGAGUACAGUGGCGUACGGGUGAGUAACACGUGGAUGAUCUAUCUCUUAGUGGGGAAUAACUCUGGGAAACCGGAGAUAAUACCGCAUAAGCUCGAGAGAGGAAAGCAGCAAUGCGCUGAGAGAGGAGUCCGCGGCCGAUUAGCUAGUUGGCAGGGUAAAAGCCACCAAGGCAGAGAUCGGUAGCCGGCCUGAGAGGGCACACGGCCACACUGGCACUGAAACACGGGCCAGACUCCUACGGGAGGCAGCAGUGGGGAAUCUUGCACAAUGGGGGAAACCCUGAUGCAGCGACGCCGCGUGAGCGAUGAAGCCCCGUUGGGGUGUAAAGCUCUUUCGGUCAGGGAAGAUAAUGACGGUACCUGCAGAAGCAGCUGCGGCUAA
rnacentral:rRNA from 1 species